rnacentral:rRNA from 1 species
GACGAACGCUGGCGGCGUGCUUAACACAUGCAAGUCGAACGGAAAGGCCCUGCUUUUGUGGGGUGCUCGAGUGGCGAACGGGUGAGUAACACGUGAGUAACCUGCCCUUGACUUUGGGAUAACUUCAGGAAACUGGGGCUAAUACCGGAUAGGAGCUCCUGCUGCAUGGUGGGGGUUGGAAAGUUUCGGCGGUUGGGGAUGGACUCGCGGCUUAUCAGCUUGUUGGUGGGGUAGUGGCUUACCAAGGCUUUGACGGGUAGCCGGCCUGAGAGGGUGACCGGCCACAUUGGGACUGAGAUACGGACCAGACUCCUACGGGAGGCAGCAGUGGGGAAUAUUGCACAAUGGGCGGAAGCCUGAUGCAGCAACGCCGCGUGCGGGAUGACGGCCUUUGGGUUGUAAACCGCUUUCGCCUGUGACGAAGCGUGAGUGACGGUAAUGGGUAAAGAAGCACCGGCUAACUACGUG